rnacentral:lncRNA from 1 species
CAAGUGUGGGGGAAUUUGAUCAGUGCAUUUUGAUGCACAUUCUUAUAUAUUUAUACUUAUGCAUUUCCAUGUUUUAGUUUGGUUAUUUUUCCCUUUUAAUUUGAUGCACAUUCUUAUAUAUUUAUACUUAUGCAUUUCCAUGUUUUAGUUUGGUUAUUUUUCCCUUUUAAUGUGUUUUUAUAAUUUAUCUUAUUUUUACACUUAUUUGUUUUUCGCAGUUUAUUUUUAGCAUUAACAGUCUGCACGAAUAAAU